CAAGGCAGCUAAAAAUGAUUUUCACUUGAAUAUCUUCUCGAUUGCAUGCUCAGUUGCAUGUAUUGUUAAUUACGGAAGGCAAAAUUAUCGUGCGCGCUAAUUUUUGUUCGAUAGAUCCGCAUUGCAGUUUUCAUGAGCUCUUCAACUUUCAACUUACCGGUCCUCGAGGGAAGGAGAAGAAGAAGAAUAGCGGGCAGAUAGAAUACCCACACGAGUAUUUUCGAGUAGAGGCUCGAACUGCUCUUCAUGGUUCUCGAUUGAGUUAGCCACAGAAGAUCAAAGAAUGAUGUCCACCAGGGAGGCUAGAUAGAUGAAAA